CGCGGAUCGAGGGACAUUGCGCAAUGUUACGUGGGUACUGUAGUCACGGACCGAGCAGCGGUGAAGAACAGGUGCACUGCAACUUCCUCCAGCGCUGCGGAGAGAGCGAGAGAGAGAGAGAGAGAGAGAAAGAGAGAGAGCCACAGGGUACUUCUGCAUUCCCACCUCUUGAGGUCACUGUGGAAUCCAUGUUUGUGGAUGCUACUGGAUUCACUCAACUUGCACCAACAUAACUACGAAUGUACCCAUGAAAAUAGCAGAUGUUCGAGAGUGGCUUAUGAUGAUGAAGUGCUGGACAGCAUCAUCAUUAUUUGAUCCAUACCUACUCAGUACUACUCACAACAACACUUAAGUGUCCAACCCAGACUGGCAGAAGGUAGGAUUGUGAUAUUAAUGAUAUACCCAGAGAAAGUGUCCAACUACAAACUGAGGACCCCUUUGAUGACCUUCAUCAAACUCAGGAGGCUUCUGAUAACAAGAGAGGCCAAAUUUAAAAUACCUGUAUAAUGUGGGGAUCUUACGGUAUCACAGUAAGCCAAGCUCUCAGCACUAGAUUCAUAGAAAAGACCCAAUGUGGAUACAAGAAACCCGCUGAGUCAACACAGCAACCAAAUAGCAGAAGCAAUGCAGGCAAGAACAAUGUACAUUAUUAUAACAAAACCUUGCCUAGAGGUUUUGUAUAGUAAAAUGUGAGGCAGUACAGAGACCAUAAGAAAAUACUUCUUAAUAAUCGAGGUUCGGAAAGAGUAGAGUAUAAAUAUACACAAAUACAAAUAUAAAGCUAUAUAAAAUCUGCAGUGCUGACAGAAUAAAACAUCAGCAUGGCAAUGUCACCCUUACUUCACACCCAACACAGACAGGCAACAGAGAGACGUGCUCCCAGGAGAGAGGAUGAGCUGGAGAGAUGCGGCCAUAUCAUCAGAUGGGCGAUCACACAGUCUCGGGAGAACAGUGGGAUUGUUUAUCUGGAGCUCAGUCUAUUUCCUCCUCUCUUGGGACACUGCAGCAGCACGUCACCCAGUGCACACAGCAGCCUCACAAUUAUUAUAGCUCAUAAUAAUUAGCAUUUAAUGAAGCACCCAGCCAUAUGGAAGAAUCUAUCUUUAACUGGUGAAGGCAUGCCGAUAAAUGAAGGUUAAUGUUGGGUGAUAAAUAACACAGCUGGAAAAAGGACUAUAUGGCUCUGUGCUGAAAUACAAAUGUGGGGCAAAAUGUAUGAUAACUUUAUCAGUCAUUUAGGUCAGAUAUGUAUUCCCAUUCAUAACAGUACUUUUUAAGCAACAUGACUGAUCGCUGGACAUCAAUAGUGGCAGGAAGACAUCUACACAAGGAAGGAAAGAAGUUCAUAAAUACACAAAAACCGUGUUUUAAGGACAAGCAAUAUACUUAUGCUUCCUAUAAUGAUGUUGUAUCAAGAAGUUUUUUUUUUAAUAUUAAUGACUGUAUUAUUUAUUUAACACAAGCUUGAUAUCAUAUAAGCUUUGAAGUGGGAAAAUAAGCGAAUGACCAAUUUUAUCCUCAGAAAUUGAAAAAACUUUCCAUAUUUCUGUAUUAGUAUCCAUAUCAGUGAUAUUGGCAUUCAUAGUGGUGGUAUCGCCUAUUCCUUGUAAAAUAUACGAAAAUAAAAACAAUCAUAAUUCAGUAUGCAAAGUUUACAACAUCACACACCUAAGACACUGUCUUUAAAACAAAAUUUGAAUGUUGUAAGGUUAAGGCUAAAUCAGGAAAAAUUGCAGAAAAAAAAAUCAAAAUUAGUCAAUUUUUAGCCCAUUUCUAUUAUCUUUGAGGCAUCGAUACAUUAGGCCACAUGCACACGAAGCCAGAGCUUUCCCUAGCCAAUCUUUUUUUCCCUUGUUCUAAAAAAAAAUUCCGUAAACACGGCAUCAUCUCAAGAAAUAUCUGUGUACACACAAAAUCACUGAAACCGACCCAAAACGAUGUAGUAUACAUGCCAGACCAGUAAGUGGCGCUGUAAUUCUGCCACAGAGAUACACUAAAAACGGAGAAGAAGACUUGGAGCAUACGCAUAAACCUUGCACGCUGUAUACAAACCCAAAACAAUAACAAGAAGAUGAAGAUGGUAAAUGCAACAACAUCAAGUAGCUCAGUAGCUUCCGCAGCACAAACACGAAGCGUGUAGUCCGCCAUUGUUGUUGUUGUUGCUGUUACGUGACGUAGCGAUGUCUGACUAGGGUUGAGACGUGGGGUGAUGACACCAUUGUUUAUAAAAUAUGGAUCAUCAUUAAUAUAUGGAUUGGCUGUACACACGAAAAUGCAAGGGUAUUUUCAGAUUUAUCCGCUCUGGGACCCGUUUUUAAAAAAAAUAGUGGUUUCAGGCUCCCAAAAUGGCAGAUCCAUCUGGACAAAACGCUACACAAAUUUUUUUACAUAAACGCAUCUCCGCAUGUACAGGCUCUUAGUGUCCUCCUAAAAGUUGAGUAAAAGUUUAGCAGAUUACACAUUUAAAACUUGCAGUCUUUCUCUUAAUAAAACAGACGAAAAAUAUGAUGACUCAUCUUGAACUACACUGCCAUUUGUCCAAUCAAAUGCUCUCUAUAAUGAGGAUGUCCCUCCCCCAAUUCCACCUGCAACUGACAAGCUGGUAGCAAAUCAUGUUCAUGGUUGUGUCAUACUAAAGCUUAUUGGCUGUUUUAAAAAACUUAUGCAUUUGCGAAUCGCUUAUAUCCACAUUACAAUUCACAUUACAUUACAAUAAAGGUAUCUUUCUAUCAGUUUUAAUAAGAAACAAGUCAAUACUAUACUUGUCAAGUUAAUUUAUUUACCCUCUUUACAGCGUAUGGUUAAGUAUAAUGAACAUACUCUAAAAAUCACUUCCUGCAGAUCAGAGGAUCCGGUGACAUUUUUAACAGAAGCUAAGAACAAUAACAUUUCAAGUAAAUAAUUCAUGACCUACCUGUCUCACUUGCAGCCCUCUUAUUAGGCAAGGGAACAGCUGUUCUUUCCCUCAGCGCACCCAAACCCUCUGGAGGUGCUGCAUCUGUUUGGGGGGAGGGCACAUCCUCUAGGGUUCAGGCGUCAGGGGAAACUGCUGUGUGUUUAACUUGUUUAUCCACAGAUGGUGGAGAUCAGGCCAAAAAACGGAAGCUUUAGUUUAAUUUUACAAUGCUUCUUCUGUCUGUCAAGAAAUUCUUAUGUACAUUUAUUACAUACACAAGUUGUGAUGGUAAUGCUCUUUGAACGGAUCAUUUGUGAAAUCAGUGUUCCAAAUAUUACCGUAGGUCCAGGAUAUUAAUGUGUUGUGUUAUGAUUUCAAGGUCUAAUACACAUUCACAUCUGCUUGCCUAAUCACAUCUGCCUAUAAUUGAAUCUGGAGCAGUGUGGGGUGCGAUGUGCCAUUGGUACUCCAGCACUUCCAGCAACCCUGAAAAACUCUUUGAAAUCCAAAUGUUCAGUAGCUGACUACAUUGCUAUAUUAUAAUGGUAACACCUUACAAUAAGGCCUCAUUUGUUAACAGUAGCUGAUGCUUUAGUUAACAUGAGCAAUAUAUUUUUACAGUAUUUAUCAACCUUUGUUAAUGUAAAAAUACAACUGUUCAUUGUUCUUGUUAAUUUGACUUAAUGUAGAAAUUAACAUUUAAAAAGAUAAAUGCUGUAAAAGUAUUAUUGUAUUUCUUGUUAACUGUGUAGUUAAAUAAUGUUUUUUUUUUCAAACAAUUGAAACCGUUGUACAGUGUUAACAUUAUAAUAUACAGUAUAUGUUCUGCACAUUCCUGCUGAUAUUCAGAAUAGUUCAACUGCGAGUGUUAUAUUGCUUUUAUUUAACAGUUAAAUAAAUAUGAAGUUGAUAUUGAGUUACUUACAUUUAGUAUGGCCAUAUCAGUUUAUGUAGCUUUAGAUCACCACUGAAAAUAAUCCACAGUAAUGAAUCAGCUUUUUUAAACAAAUAAAUUAAGCGAAUGAUUCAGUGACUCACUUUUUUGGUCUUUAAUAACGUAUUAACAAAUCGGUUGAAUGAAUGAUUCAAUUCUUGUCACAUACUGGCAUACUUUAAGUUGUGCAUAUUAGAAUGAUUUCAGAAGGAUCAUGUGACACUGAAGACUGGAGUAAAAAUUCAGCUUUUUAUCACAGAAAUAAAUUAUAUUUUAAAGUAUGUUAAAAUAGAAAAACAUUAUUUUAAAUUGUAAUAAUAUUUCACAAUAUUACUGUUUUUUUUCUGUAUUUUUGAUUAAAUAAAUGCAGGCUUGAUGAGCGUAAGAGACUUCUUUCAAAAACAUUAAAAAUAGUAUUGUUUCCAAACUUUUGACCAGUAUAUACACAAAACGAGUCCAUGCUGCAUUUCUUUUAACUUUAUAGCAUACGCAGUGGUCUUAAAACCCACAUCGUGACAUGCUGCCCUCCAGACAGAGACCCAGUUUAGACUAAGCACUACUCCUUUCUCCUUCUCCAGCCUUUUCUCAGGCCUGUAGGGGGAUGUUUUCCUGGGGUAGGUGGAACACAGAUGCGCAGCAGUUCUUGCAUUGCUGGGAGAGGAGAUGGCUGACUACCUUUUGGCUUGGAGGCACCAUUAACCAAUUUGCUAUCCAGAUGUCCAUCACUGAGCAGUGGCCAGCUUUGUGCCAGUCUGAGCAGUCCAGACACAUACAUCUGGGCAAGACCAUUACAUUCACAGUCUCAGACUCAACCCCCACACACAAUCUGUUAUUUUUUCGUCUGAGAAUCCAAAAUCAUGCCUGAGUAUGACUGAGGGAUUUUUUUUUGCAUGUGUAUAAGUGUUGCCUUUUAAAUUUCUUUACUUUAGUGUAGUAUACUUCAUAGCAGAGAGAAUCUUUCUAGUAUCUUUUUUGGUCAAAACAUUUUUCACAAUCGUCAUAUUUUUUCAUAUGACAGUUUUAGUUCCGUUCCUCAAUUCUGAUUGGCUGAGCAGCAUUCCAGGAGCGCUCAAGGGGCGAUUACACUACACUUUUUGCUUCAUUCAUACAAAUGCAGAGUCAGCCACUUAAAAGGCUGUCUCAAUCUCAAAAUCCUUCCAGUGCCCUGGAACGUUGAUCCCUAAAAAAAUGCUACAAUGCACUGCAAAAACCAUGAAGUAUUGAUAAUAAAUCACAUUUUGCUAUUGCUGUUUUGCUGUUGUUGAUAACAGCGGUGACUUUUUGCAAUGCAAGUAUGUUGUCAUGUCACCAGAAAUGGAGUCUUCAGUGUCCCAAUGUGUAGUGAGCCAGGGUUCUUACAAUUCGUCAUGAUAUACAGGUUAAUGGCGUAAGGAGCCCACUGUUUUCAUGAGGGAAUCACCGAAUCAUUCACUCAACCAAUUUGUUCAAAAACAUUCGUUUUGAAACAAGUGACUGCUUUUUAUCAGUCACUGAAUCAUUUAUUCACCCAUUUGUAGAAAAACUGUGAUUCAUUCAGGAACUUAACUAUUUUUGUAUCGCUCAGAGACAUGCAGUGUUUCUUUUUGUUUUGUUUUUUUGCUUUGUUUGGAACUAUUUUCAUUGCUGGAACGAGAAAUUGACAGUAUCGUGUUUGUAAAGCAAGUCACAUCAAAUUCUUGUUUAUUGAAUUAUUGUAAAUAAGUAUGCUUGGUAACACUUUAUUUUAGGGUCUUUUAACUAGUCGCUUAUUAGCUUGCAUAUUACUAGAAUAUUGGCUGUUUAUUAGUACUUAUUAAGCACAUAUUAAUGCCUUAUUCUACGUAACCUUAUUCUACUUUCUUAAUCCUACCCAAUACCUAACCUUAACAACUACCUUACUAACUAUUAAUGAGCAGUAAAUUAGUAAUUAAUUGAGGGAAAAGUCGUAAUUAAUAGUGAAUAUGUGUUCCCUAUACUAAAGUGUUACCGUAUGCUUCUUUGAAAUACAAAAAGUGAUAAUAUAUAUACACUGUUAAUUGGUUUACUAUAAAUAGAUUUGCAGAUGAAAUAAGUCACAUCAACAGAAGCAAAGAUGAACAAUUUUCAUAUUAUCAUUCAGUCCCACAGUCCGCCUGAUUGAUGAUACCUGUAUGAACAGUGUGUGUAUGUACCACAACCACAACCUCUGCCAGUGCGAACAUUUGCCUUGUGGCACCAAUUCCCAGGAAUGCCUAACCUGUGCCAGCUGUUGGAGACAAGCUACCUGUGCCAACGGUGGCGGGAGCUGCCCACCACAUCAUCUGUUCCAGCGUUUCCAUCUGUAGCAUUUGUACCGAUCCUCCUCUCUCUGCAUCUGGACCCUCCAAAGAAAGCUUUCCAAUAGUGCUGGCCUUGACUAUGACUGCCAACCAGGCCAGAUGUUCGAGCUGUAAGCCCCGGGCUAAAUCAAUGUAGCUCUCCGCUCAUUAUUCCAGGCCUGAUGAAUUGCAAGUGGCUGGGUUUUUUUCAGCUUACACUACAACAAACCAUCCAUCAGAGAGAGCGAGAUGUGAGGAGAUGUAGUGGUGAGGCUGUCUAAGGAGGGGCUUGCAGAUGUGUCUUUCAAGGCAUUUGGCAGAUUAUGGGAAAGCUUUUUGAAAAGAUAGCCUCUUUAUAGAAACAGUAAAACAGGCCACAAAACAGUUGACAUGGAUGUCUAUUUUUUACUUGAAUACAAAUAUUUAUAUGUACUGUAGGCAUUAUGCUAGUCAUAGCUAGCCAUCAGUUUGAUUCAUAAUCAGAUCAUUCAGACUGGAAUUGUGAACUGAAUCAAAUGAUUCACUGAAAAGAUACAACCCAAAAAAACGAUUUGUUCCAUAAUCAGACAGACAUUGUUAUGUCUCUCACAAACCUGCCAAGGAAACAUAUUGUUAAACUUAUUACUUUAACUUAAUGUUUUAAACAUAAAAGCUCAUUUGUAGCAUUCAUUUCGUUUCAUAGAGGUUACGUCGGGGGUGUCAAACUCAGCUCCUGGGGGGGCACACACUUUUUAUAAAUAAGCCUGAAGGACCUGAUUAGCUGGAUUAGGUUUGUUUAAUUAGAGUUGAAGCUAAACUCAGCAGGUCUGAGUUUGAUACCCCUGGGUUACACCAUACAUCAUAUUUUGAAACUAUAUAAUUUUUUGUGUAAAUAACAUCUAUAAGAAUACUCAUAGAGAAAACUUGGCCAAAAUCAUUUAUUUAUUUUGUGUUAGACUGUGUUUUUUAGAUGUUAAAAAUUUGAUCUGAUUUGACUUUGAUCAUUCCUUGGUUUUAGGCACUCAUCUUGUUUUAAAGAGCAGAUGUCACAAAAGUUUCUAAAAUGUCUAAAAUAUUAUAUGAAUAUAUUUUGAAAACUAUAACCCAGUUUAAGAGUUACAUAAGUGUUGGGGAAUUGUGGUAAGUGAUACAUAUUUAUUUAGUCUGAGUUCCAGUAUUCUCUUAAUCAUGGGCAAUGAGCAAAUACACACACCCUUUAAUGAUAUACUCUGUAGAUGCAAGUUUGACUGGAAAUCUGGUUACUACAGACACUUUCAUGUAACAUUAUUAACAUUUCAAAUGUUCUACAGCUGAUGCACUGGUGACUGGUUAUGCAGCUGUCAUUAAAACAAAAUAAUAAAAUAAAAUAAAAAACAGCAAAGUAUUCUGUGGUGCAUUAAAGAGUUAAAGAUUUUAAAGAAACUCUGAUGCUAAUUUGCUCAUUUUUAUCUGUGACAAAUGCAUUGCAUUACAGUUGGCUGAGUUAUGGAACAUUUGCCACAAUCACAAUGUUAAAAAAUAUUUAAAUAUUUCAUUAUACUGUGACAAUGCAUAAAAAACUGUGAUUAACUUCCUGUGUGAAAUGCACUUGGUAACUCACCAAGAUUCAGCUGAAGAAGAAUCUUCGCAGAGAAGAUUCUCUGCAUCCUGGGAGGUUCCACGCGAUUAUCCUUGUACCUUGAAGAUGAGCCAAAACAAACAUUCUUCAAGACGUGAAGAAAAGAAAAAAGGGAAGCUAGUUCAUCCAGUUGUUGUUAUGCAAAUACAGUCUGCGCUUCCAGAUGUGUAUUUUUCAGCCCCUUGUCCCCUGUGAAGGCGUGUUGGGCCCUCAGGGAACGUAAAAACCAAUACCAUCGCUAAACUUAGCUGAGUCCAGCUGUUCCCAGUUGUGCUCAUCCCGAGGAAGAACUUAGCACAGUGAGUGAAACAAAUUUAAUAUGACAAACAGUCCAUGCAAGAGAGAUAGAAAUAACAUCACUAUUUAAAGAUUUGUUAUAACAUCUAACAUCUAACUAAGACAUCUAUUUGUUAUAACAUCUAACAUCUAACUAAGACUCAAACAAUUCUAAACCCUAAAAAAAAAAGUUUUGAAUUUUGAAGACUGAAAUAGUAUUUUGUAAAUCAAAAACACUGUUUUAAAAAGAAAAUUCCCAUGCCUUAACGAUGCAAAUUCUCUCCUGGGUUUUAGAACUACACAGCGAUCUCAGAGGAGGUGCAAUAUAGUUCUCUCUUAUUCAGAUAUGACCUUGACAUAUGGUUUGGCUGCCAGUCUGAGGGCCUUGGCUGUGAGGCGGUGAGGUUGGAUGGCACACUAUGGUACCCCAGCAUGCAUCUGGAAAAGUAGGAUGUGCAGAGGGUGUGGCAUGGAUGUAGUGUGUGGCACCUAGGGGUGUUUGGGGCACCGCUGGCAUCAUGACUAUCUAUCAAGCCCAGAUGUCACACCCAAGUAACAGCUGCACUGGCUGGGGGCAGUGAGAGACUGCCUUCCUCAUCCAGAGGACCUGCCAGAGGCCACCGCAUCCAACACACAGCACAGCAGAGAGUCUUCAGAAGAGCCACCGAUUAACAAAAUAUACAGAGUUAAAGCUCUGUUAGAAAAAUUCAAUUACUGAGUCCUUCCAGCUCAGUUGAUAUGGGCAGACAGUCUCUUUCAUACACAGGUAACUGGCUCACUUUACAAAACAAAACAAAACAAACAAGCAAACAAAACAAAAAACCCUGGAGUGAACUGAACUAGUACUAGUCUCUCAGUUUGACUUAUGUUUUAAAUGAAUAUUCAUGUACACACUCACACCUGGGCUCUCCAUCCUGCCAAACAACACAGGUCAUAACUCAUAAGCAUUAGUUUACUCAUAGACCAACUGCAGUCAGCUAAAAUUGGGAAUAGCCAAUCACUGCAAGGAAUUUAAAAAAUAUACUUGUAAGAAACAACACAAAAAGUAAGGUAUCAUCAAAAAGCAUGAAAAAUAAGGACUGUAUCUUGUUGUAUCAAUAAGAGGAAAUUUAAAUAAAUAAAUACAAAAAAAAGUUGUUUUUUUGAAAAAUAUAGUAUUUAGUUCUGGGUAAUUUCAGAUGAACUGAACACGGUGAACACGGAAACAAGGAAAAUUUGAAUCUGACACGCUCUUGGGAAUAAACAGCUAUUUUGGUUACACAUUUUCAACACUAAAUUAUAGAACAGGCCUGACUUAACACAAAAAUAUUGGAAAAUUAAGCAUUUGUUCAUUGUCAUUUUAAUUGUGCUACCCUGACUUUUAACUCUGACCCUGACUUUUCAGAUCAGUCAGAAUCACUUACACUUUCUGAACAAAUUUAAAUGCAGUUUGCCCCAUUAGCGCAUAUUAUAAUUAAUAGCAAGCUGAAAUGUGGUAUUAUAAUAACUCCUUUUCCCGCACAUAAUUAUAUUAUAAUAAAUUUUCCAAAUAUAAAAAAGAUAACGUUUUUUUUAGAAAGGUUUUAACUUUAUUUGUUGAUAUUUGGUAGCUCAGAAAUUGUUUUCAGUUAUUAAUGGAUAAAUAAUUCUAUUAAUGGAAAUAAUCUUAUACUAUUAUCAGGUGUUAUCUGUGUUUUCUCUGUUACUAGUUUUCCCAGUGUUAUACUGCCUUCACGUUGUAUCAGAAUUAUCGUAAAUACGAAUUUCCUAGUUAAAAAUUGGACAUGAAUGCCCUCUCAAGUCAUAUUUACCACUGGGAAGCUCUGGGAUUUGUUCCUGUGUUGGGUGUGCCAUAAACUUAAAACAUGGCGGAGAGGAGAAUGGUUGCUUCUGUGACUGGUAUCCUUUAUUAGUUUUUUCCACAACAGAUACGUCGCCUUGUCUUGUCUUUAAAGUAGUGCAUAUUUACAUAUAUGAAUAAUCAUUUGAAGCAUUUUGCAUGUUUUAUACACAGCGAAAAUAGCCUGCAUUUGACUGAAAUUCCAGAGUUGUCAGCAAGCUGACUAUCUUGAUGCGGUGAAUGUUUAUAUGUUUGUCAAUGAAUGGGAUGCUAAAUAUCAUUUUGGCUUUAAUACGAUUUCCCCAGUAAAUAUGCAAGAAUAAACCUGGUGUCCCCCAUGCUUAAUUUUCUUUCUGACAACAAAGCACUUGAAUAUGACAAUCUCGUAAUCACAACUUCAGAAGUGGGAAGUAGGAAAUUUCCGAUAGCAUGUAAAGGCAGCAUUAGUUCCUGGCUGCAUCCGAAAACUUGUUGCCUCACUACCUUACAGGCAAUGACUUUGCAGGCAGCGUUUGUGCACGAAAGUAGCCUUACGAAACUGAUUACAUCUGUGCUGCCUUCAAAAUUGAUCAGAUGAAGGUUUCUCACGAGGCAGGAAAUGAAGCUAACACUGGAUUCGGCCUUCCUACCUUGGAAUGUGUCCUCUGAAGGCAGCAUUUUUAAGUUUUCGAAUGCAGUAUGCUUUGGUUGCUCUUCUGUGUGCUCAUUUGUUUCCAUAUUGUGCUCACCUGUAUCUUGUUUAGCUCCAUCAUUUCGUCUGUUUAAACCCUCUGUUCAGUUCAGUUCUCUCUCUGGUGUCUUCAAUGUUUAAGGUUGGUUGUGUUAUUUCUCCUGCGGUUUCUUUCUGUGCCUACAGUGCCAGUUUGUAUUGUUUUUGUUUUUUUAUUUGUCUAAUAAAGACUGACUGCUGCACAUAGAUAGAUCUUCCACUUGCCUUUAUUGGAACCAACCUGUGACAAUUAUAGAAUCAGAUUCUAUUUUAUUUACGGUAGUACAUAUGACACAUACUGGAAUCUAUCUUGGCCACAUUU